ACUCAAAGGAAUAGACGGGGACCCGCACAAGCAGCGGAGCAUGUGGUUUAAUUCGAAGAUACGCGAAGAACCUUACCAAGGCUUGACAUCGUAUGACAGGUAUAGAGAUAUACUUUCCCAGCAAUGGGCAUAUAGACAGGUGGUGCAUGGUUGUCGUCAGCUCGUGUCGUGAGAUGUUCGGUUAAGUCCGGCAACGAGCGCAACCCUUAUGGUAUGUUGCCAAUAUUCAGUUAGGAACUCAUAUCAGACUGCCGCGGAUAACGCGGAGGAAGGCGGGGACGACGUCAAAUCAUCAUGCCCCUUACGUCUUGGGCUACACACGUGCUACAAUGGGCGUUACAAAGAGCAGCGAACUGGCAACAGUAAGCGAAUCUCAAAAAAGCGCUCUCAGUUCAGAUCGCGGGCUGCAACCCGCCCGCGUGAAGCAGGAGUUGCUAGUAAUCCCGAAUCAGAAUGUCGGGGUGAAUGCGUUCCCGGGUCUUGUACACACCGCCCGU
rnacentral:rRNA from 1 species